rnacentral:rRNA from 1 species
CGCUGGCGGCGUGCCUAAUACAUGCAAGUCGAGCGGACUUGUAGGAGCUUGCUCCUGCAAGUUAGCGGCGGACGGGUGAGUAACACGUGGGCAACCUGCCUGUAAGACUGGGAUAACUUCGGGAAACCGGAGCUAAUACCGGAUGACACUAAGGAACUCCUGUUCCUUAGUUGAAAGAUGGCUUCGGCUAUCACUUACAGAUGGGCCCGCGGCGCAUUAGCUAGUUGGUGAGGUAACGGCUCACCAAGGCGACGAUGCGUAGCCGACCUGAGAGGGUGAUCGGCCACACUGGGACUGAGACACGGCCCAGACUCCUACGGGAGGCAGCAGUAGGGAAUCUUCCGCAAUGGACGAAAGUCUGACGGAGCAACGCCGCGUGAGCGAUGAAGGCCUUCGGGUCGUAAAGCUCUGUUGUUAGGGAAGAACAAGUGCUAGUUGAAUAAGCUGGCACCUUGACGGUACCUAACCAGAAAGCCACGGCUAACUACGUGCCAGCAGCCGCGGUAAUACGUAGGUGGCAAGCGUUGUCCGGAAUUAUUGGGCGUAAAGCGCGCGCAGGCGGUUUCUUAAGUCUGAUGUGAAAGCCCCCGGCUCAACCGGGGAGGGUCAUUGGAAACUGGGAAACUUGAGUGCAGAAGAGGAAAGUGGAAUUCCAAGUGUAGCGGUGAAAUGCGUAGAGAUUUGGAGGAACACCAGUGGCGAAGGCGACUUUCUGGUCUGUAACUAC